UCCAACCCCUGAUACUGUUGUGUGGAUAAG
rnacentral:piRNA from 1 species